UCAGGACGAACGCUGGCGGCGUGCUUAACACAUGCAAGUUGAACGGUAUGACAUGGAAGCUUGCUGAAGUGUCAUAUAGUAGCGGACGGGUGAGUAAUGCAUGAGAAGCUGCCAUUGGGAGGGGGACAACAGUUGGAAACGGCUGCUAAUACCCCGUAUGCCGGAGGGUGAAAGGGAGUAAUCCGCCCGAUGAGGUGCUCAUGUCCUAUCAGCUGGUUGGUGGGGUAACGGCCUACCAAGGCGACGACGGGUAGCCGGCCUGAGAGGGUGAACGGCCACACUGGAACUGAGAUACGGUCCAGACUCCUACGGGAGGCAGCAGUGGGGAAUCUUCCGCAAUGGACGAAAGUCUGACGGAGCAACGCCGCGUGAGUGAAGAAGGGUUUUUUCCGGAUCGUAAAACUCUGUUGUCAGAGAAGAACAAGUUGGAGAGUAACUGCUCCAGCCUUGACGGUAUCUGACCAGAAAGCCACGGCUAACUACGUGCCAGCAGCCGC
rnacentral:rRNA from 1 species